ACUUUCUAGCUGAACACUCAGCUUCAUCCACUCCAGGACAGCUGAGCGUCUGGAUGGUGUCUCACCCUGUUGCCCAGGCUGGAAUACAGUGGCACGAUCCUGGCUCACUGCAAUCUCCAUCUCCCGGGUUCAAGCGAUUCUCCUGCCUCAGCCUCUCAAGUAGCUGGGAUUACAGGGCUUCAGAAGCUGAUGGCAUAGUUAUGAGAGGGGUGAAGACUGCGACUGCAUUUCCAACAGACCCUGAGGACAAUUGGGAAGAAUGCGCUGAAUAUUUUUGAGCAAUUUCUAUAUGAUAAGCAGUUUUUAGGGCAAGUAUAGGUUGCACUGAUCCUGACCUUUUGGCCUGAGGAUGGAAGUCUUCAGUAUCUGUACAACUUUACUCCCAAGAGCUGGUGUAGAAUGAGUUCCUCUGGCCAUGGGAGGAUCGCAGAGGGGCACCUGCCACCAGCAGCCCAGCCUCAGCACUUUUCUCUUCAGCGUCUUCUUCAAGGUAUUUCCAGUUGCCCGCCCUGAACUGUUUCAGAAUGAGGAGGACACCUGGAGGAAUCUACACGUGCAUAGACCAAUUUGCAAAAGAACCUGUGAGCCAACAUUAUUACCUCAGCUGGAAGAAUUAAUAAGCAACACGUUCACCCAAGAAGUAUUUACUGAGCACCUACUAUGUGCAUUAUUUUCUGGUGUUGGGGCUAGGGGGCAAACGACUCUGACAAGUCUCUGUUCUCAAGGCUGGAGUGCAGCGGCGCGAUCUCGGCUCACUGCAAGCUCCGCCUCCCGGGUUCACGCCAUUCUCCUGCCUCAGCCUCCCGAGUAGCUGGGACUACAGGCGCCCGCAACCACGCCCGGCUAAUUUUUUGUAUUUUUAGUAGAGAUGGGGUUUCACCAUGUUAGUCAGGAUGGUCUCGAUUUCCUGACCUUGUGAUCCGCCCGCCCCCGCCUCCCAAAGUGCUGGGAUUACAGGCGUGAGCCACCGCGCCCGGCCGUAGUUUACAUUUUCUAAAGCGUACUCUGCCAGCCAAGUGGCAAACAGACUUGGGCCUCUUAAGAGUGGAAGCAGGAGGAAACCCGAAGAUCCUGGAGAGAGACUGGUGGCUGGUACCAGUGGAGAGGGAGCAAAAAGGAAAAUACAGGAUACAAUUUCAGGAAAAAUUUCAUACCAAUUUCCUGAGGUAAUUUCUGAACUCGAACAUUUUCAGUGUCACCACAUUGUGUUUCCUGCUGAAUCAAGUCUACAUCACUUCGGUUUUUAAAGCCUUCCACGAUCCUUCCCUGAACACUGUAGUUUUCACUGAUGGUUGGCUGUUUCAAACUCCCAUAUGAUCCAUACUGUAUCAUUAAUAAGCAAGCAAGGAAUAACACACCCUCUGCUAUUCUGUGCAGUGUUUCAGGUUUUUAGUUUUCUCUUUCAAGAUAGAAAAUCCCUUUAGAGUAGGAACUCGGCUGGCACUUUCUUUCACAUCCUGCAUAGCACUUAGCAAAGUUCUGUACACAGGGCACAUGUGGAAAUUGCUUAUUGAUUGAUUAAAAGCAUAUAUCACUGGCAUUUGUAUCUUCAGUAUUUCUCUUGUAUGAAGAAGGGUGAUUAUCUGUCAAUAUUCAUUGCAUCAUUGAACCAAUGUACAAUGCAUUAAUCAUCACUGAAGAUAACCAGAUGAGGCUUUAUUGUAAUCUCCUUCUAUUUUGCUGAGAUAAUUUCACUUGCUUUAGAGUUUAUGAGGCCAUAAGUGGCUCCCAUCUGUUGAUGAACAUAUUUCUAAGAGUCAUUUAGUCUCAAGUAUGGAAUACUUGAGGGGAAGUUAAAUUGUAACUUUUAUAUUAAGUGUCAUCUUAGUAACAGAACCAAAAUUGGAAGCAUGUGUUCAAUUUUGGUUUUUCAUUUUCAAAGCUUUAGGUCAGGCAAAGAAUUAAUUUCAUUUGUUUACAAAGUAGAUUAUGCCUAAUAAAAUCUAUUUUGUUUAUGGUCACAUUUUAAUCAAUCCACUGCUUUAGAAAAUGAGAGAAUUCUGAUUGGCUAAUCAUUCAACAUAGUAAAUUACAUUAUUCCACAUCCACAGAACACUGGCCUAAUUGCAUUAUCCAGUAAUGAUAAAAAUAUUCCUUUUAAUACAUUUUGAGCAAGGCAUAUACCAGUGAUGAAACAGGGAAGAAUCUUGUUUAUUCCAUCCUUGUUUGAUGAUCGACCACAGAAUAUAACAUAACACUUCUGUGUAUAAGAAUUUUUUCAACAUUAAGGAUAAUAAGGACAAGGUAGUUUUCACUGGAUCCUUACUGGUACUCUGAAUUUUCACUAUUUGUCCGCAUUUCUUCUCCUUCCCGGAAAUUUGUUUUCUGCGAAAAACAAGUGCUACUUUGUCAAAUAAAGCUUAAAUAAAAUUGGUUUCAAUUUAUGCAUAAU
rnacentral:lncRNA from 10 species